AUUGAACGCUGGCGGCAUGCCUUACACAUGCAAGUCGAACGGUAACGGGCCUUCGGGUGCCGCCGAGUGGCGAACGGGUGAGUAAUACAUCGGAACGUGCCCGAUCGUGGGGGAUAACGAGGCGAAAGCUUUGCUAAUACCGCAUACGACCUACGGAUGACAGCAGGGGACCGCAAGGCCUUGCGCGGACGGAGCGGCCGAUGGCAGAUUAGGUAGUUGGUGGGAUAAAGGCUUACCAAGCCGACGAUCUGUAGCUGGUCUGAGAGGAUGAUCAGCCACACUGGAACUGAGACACGGUCCAGACUCCUACGGGAGGCAGCAGUGGGGAAUUUUGGACAAUGGGCGCAAGCCUGAUCCAGCCAUGCCGCGUGCAGGAUGAAGGCCUUCGGGUUGUAAACUGCUUUUGUACGGAACGAAAAGCCUUCUUUUAAUACAGGAGGGUCAUGACGGUGCCGUAAGAAUAAGCACCGGCUAACUACGUG
rnacentral:rRNA from 1 species